CGAACCGUCCAAACGUUAUUCGGAUUUAUUGGGCUUAAAGGGUAUGUAGGCGGCCCUUCAAGUCGGGUGUGAAAGCCCUCGGCUCAACCGAGGAACUGCGCCCGAUACUGUGGGGCUCGAGGGAGACAGAGGUAAGCGGAACUGAUGGUGGAGCGGUGAAAUGCGUUGAUACCAUCAGGAACACCAGUGGCGAAAGCGGCUUACUGGGUCUCUUCUGACGCUGAGAUACGAAAGCUAGGGGAGCGAACGGGAUUAGAUACCCCGGUAGUCCUAGCUGUAAACGAUGAGCACUUGAUCGAGGGGCCCCCCAUAGCCUCUCGGUCGUAGCGAAAGUGAUAAGUGCUCCGCCUGGGGAGUAUGGUCGCAAGGCUG
rnacentral:rRNA from 1 species